GACAGAGGGAUAGAGAGCAAGAGAGGGCUGGAAAGCAGAGAGAGAGAGAGAGAGAGAGAGAGAGAGAGAGAGAGAGAGAGAGAGAGAGAGAGAGAGAGAGAGAGAGAGAGAGAGAGAGAGAGAGAGAGAGAGAGAGAGAGAGAGAGAGAGAGAGAGAGAGAGAGAGUGAGUGAGUGAGGGACAGAGGGAAAGAGAGCAAGAGAGGGAGAGAGAAGGAGAGGGAGUGAGAGAGCAAGAGAAAAAAGAUAAAUGUGCCUUCUACCGCUGGCUAGUGGAUAGAUAGCAGCCACAGUAGGAACUAGAGCAGCACGGGAGGACGGCACGCUGCAGGCUCCAGACCCUCUCUGAAGCACAACAACUGGGACAACUAUUCCCCCACACUACUCCAACCAUCGCUGACCGACUGGGCAGAGCAAACAGCGGGAAUUGGCUCGGACAAAGGGCGAGUGUGAGCAGCUUUUGCUCAGAGAGUAUUUCCAGGGCUGUAUGCUAAAGGUGCGGCCGCUACACCUUGGAGGGAAACUGGGAGAGGCUGGCAUUUUGGGAAGGCAUGAGGCCCCGCUCCAGACCGCUGAGCAAGAGGAGGCUCCAGCUGCCGACCAUCAGAGAGGGCAGCGAGGAGGUGCCCCCCCCCCACCCCCCCGCCUCCGUCUGCUCCCAGGACUACCUGCUCUCCAUCUGCCACCUGGCCCUCCCCACCUGCCCGGCUCCGCCCGGCGGGGGGGCCCCCGACCCUCUGGAGCUGCUCUACGGCGGGACGGCCCUCUCCUCCUGCUGGGAGGGCGGCGGCGAGGAGAGGAGGAGGAGGAGGAGUGUGGGGGGGCAGAGCGGGGAGGAAGGCCUCUCCGGUUGGCGCGGCGACAGAGACGACCGGGACGGCCGCGAGGGGAGGCGGCGCGCCCGGGCCAACAGCGUCCCCCGCCUCACCAGCCCCAACUGCCCCCCGAGGCGCAAGGGCAGCUGCCCCGAGGUGCACCCCCUGCCCGGCCCCCAGACCCCCGCGCACCCCCCGGCCGUGCCCCCAGACGGCCCCCCGGUCCCCGAGGUCAGAGACAGUCCGGAGGAGGAGACGGGGGGCCGAGGGGAGAGGGGGGGGGCCGAGGAGGAACAGGAUCCCGGGGGGCAAACCCUCCCUCCUGUCCCAGUGGCUCUCUGACUGUAGGUCAGCGUGGAGGGUCAAAGCAGGCGUGCUGCCGGCCAUCGCUGAGAUAUAGGCCGGCCCGCGGCACGCAAAGACACUCUGUACUUAGACUCCAUUCUUAUUGUUUGUUUUUAUAUGUGUCGUUUCGUUCAGAGGUUGAGAAGAGACAACAUGCAGUCUAACACUGGUCGAUACAGCUGUAUGAAUGGAUAUCGCUUGCCUUAAUACAUAAUGAUAUCUACAUGUUAAUAUAUAUUAAGGCAAGCUUAUAGCUAUAUAUUGUUACUCUUGCCUGUGAUCUGUGAUUGUUUUGCUUAUAUACUCUGACCAACUCGUGCUUGGCUUAUGCCAAAAUGAAAUCUGAAAUCUGCAAAAUCAUUUUAUACCCUGGGUGCCCUGUGGGUCAGAGAGAAAUAAUGAAGGAAUAAAUAAACGAUCGAUUUUGAUACUCUUAAACCAUCGAGGGUUGAGUGUGCGUUUGCUUGCCGGUACGGACAGCUUGACAACACCACCCCUUGCA
ensembl:lncRNA